rnacentral:rRNA from 1 species
GACGAACGCUGGCGGCGUGCUUAACACAUGCAAGUCGAACGGAAAGGCCCUGCUUUUGUGGGGUGCUCGAGUGGCGAACGGGUGAGUAACACGUGAGUAACCUGCCCUUGACUCUGGGAUAACUUCAGGAAACUGGGGCUAAUACCGGAUAGGAGCUCCUGCUGCAUGGUGGGGGUUGGAAAGUUUCGGCGGUUGGGGAUGGACUCGCGGCUUAUCAGCUUGUUGGUGGGGUAGUGGCUUACCAAGGCUUUGACGGGUAGCCGGCCUGCGAGGGUGACCGGCCACAUUGGGACUGAGAUACGGCCCAGACUCCUACGGGAGGCAGCAGUGGGGAAUAUUGCACAAUGGGCGGAAGCCUGAUGCAGCAACGCCGCGUGCGGGAUGACGGCCUUCGGGUUGUAAACCGCUUUCGCCUGUGACGAAGCGUGAGUGACGGUAAUGGGUAAAGAAGCACCGGCUAACUACGUG